rnacentral:rRNA from 1 species
AAGAAAGAUUAAUACCUGAUGGUAUGAUGAGAUUGCAUGAUAGCAUCAUUAAAGAUUUAUCGGUGUACGAUGGGGAUGCGUUCCAUUAGGUAGUAGGCGGGGUAACGGCCCACCUAGCCAACGAUGGAUAGGGGUUCUGAGAGGAAGGUCCCCCACAUUGGAACUGAGACGCGGUCCAAACUCCUACGGGAGGCAGCAGUGAGGAAUAUUGGUCAAUGGACGAGAGUCUGAACCAGCCAAGUAGCGUGAAGGAUGAAGGUCCUACGGAUUGUAAACUUCUUUUAUAAGGGAAUAAACCCUCCCACGUGUGGGAGCUUGUAUGUACCUUAUGAAUAAGCAUCGGCUAACUCCGUGCCAGCAGCCGCGGUAAUACGGAGGAUGCGAGCGUUAUCCGGAUUUAUUGGGUUUAAAGGGAGCGCAGACGGGUCGUUAAGUCAGCUGUGAAAGUUUGGGGCUCAACCUUAAAAUUGCAGUUGAUACUGGCGUCCUUGAGUGCGGUUGAGGUGUGCGGAAUUCGUGGUGUAGCGGUGAAAUGCUUAGAUAUCACGAAGAACUCCGAUUGCGAAGGCAGCACACUAAUCCGUAACUGACGUUCAUGCUCGAAAGUGUGGGUAUCAAACAGGA